AGAAAAAAAAUCGAAGCGUCGCUCUUUAUGAAAUAUUAUUAUUAUAUUUUGUUUGGGUGAUCGCGUCGGAAUUGAGCCGUCUUUUCAUAUGUUAACUCAUGUCAAAGUGGUUUAAAAUUCAUCAAUCUGGUACGAUUUAAAGCGUAUUUAAGAUCAACCUUGAUUAAGAACGCGCGAUGACGUACCAUCUCAUGUAGUACGUUCGACCUGUUUUUCAGGCUCAUUCGUAUACGACACUCAAC
rnacentral:misc_RNA from 1 species